rfam:Ixodes scapularis strain Wikel colony gcontig_1107728878602, whole genome shotgun sequence.
CCCUGCUUAGCUCAGUUGGUAGAGCGCUCCACCUGUAAUGGAGAGGUCCCGGGUUCGAUACCCGGACCAGGCG